CAAAAGAAUGAAUUUCCUACUUCAUUAGUGAAUGAAAUGUUUAUGAAAAAAUGGAUUUUGUCUUAAUAUUAUAUAAAUUCAGGCAUAUACUUUAUUUUUUUUAAAUUCAUGCUCGUCUCUAGAUCUGCAAGUUUUGAUCGGGAUUAAACACGUGUUACGUUAUGAUCCAAUCGCAGCUUACCGCCCAAAAUUGAUGAAAUAAGUUGAAUGAUUUUCUUCUAGAUUUGCUGCUUAUUUGGACGUGUAUUACAUGAACACCUUUUGUUUAUAGGAUCAAUCGUGCAUUGGUGAGUUGAUAGGGAUUUUAUCUUUUGAUACGAUUUGAUUUUUAUUUAUUUAUUUCCUGUCUUAUUUUUAUUGAAAUAUACACGUCAGUAUCAUCAUUUCCUUACUCUCAGUGUUGUCCAAAAUACUAUUCAUGUCCAUAUAUUGAAAAAAAAAACAGUUAUUGACCGAAUAUUUUGCUUCAUAAAGGGGGCGGUAUGUUCUUUUUUGAGUAUAUUAACAAUAUACUUUUCAACUCCAGCA
rnacentral:lncRNA from 1 species